AUACUUUUUUGGCCUUUUGGCUAAGAUCAAAUGUAGUAUCUGUUCUUAUCAGAAGAUAAUUUUUUUAUAGUUACAAAGUGUGUACUCAAA
rnacentral:snRNA from 1 species